GGGAUUUUAGCUCAGUUGGUAGAGUGCUUGCCUUGCAAGCACAAGGCCCUGGGUUCAAUCCCCUGUACCA
rnacentral:tRNA from 1 species